GAUGGAAGAACGUAGCGAAAUGCGAUACGUAAUGUGAAUUGCAGAAUUCAGUGAAUCAUCGAAUCUUUGAACGCACAUUGCGCCCCCUGGUAUUCCGGGGGGCAUGCCUGUCCGAGCGUCAUUACAACCCUCAAGCUCAGCUUGGUGUUGGGCCCCGCCGCCCCGGCGGGCCCUAAAGUCAGUGGCGGUGCCGUCCGGCUCCGAGCGUAGUAAUUCUUCUCGCUCUGGAGGUCCGGUCGUGUGCUUGCCAGCAACCCCCAAUUUUUUUCAGGUUGACCUCGGAUCAGGUAGGGAUACCCGCUGAACUUAAGCAUAUCAAUAAGCGGAGGA
rnacentral:misc_RNA from 1 species